UGGAAAAUGAAAGACCACAUUUGCCAAUUUUAAAGGAUGGAUAUGAACUCAGAAAAAUUAUUUUGGGCCAACUCCUAACAUUCAAGGACAAUGAAAGUGAAGAUAACAUGCCUGCCGGUGUACUUGAAUUCAUCAAUUGUAUCAGGAAAAUCCAAUCUAAAAGUGGACUUGCGUGCUAUUUCUGAAAAGAGAAGCUUCUCUGUUGGCUGGCAUCUCUGGUAGUAGUUUUAGAUAAGUAGCAAAUGAACCAGUUGGGUCAAUUACAAAUAUUUGGCUGUAAAUGACUUUCAGUUUCUACCUUAUAAUGAAAUGUAGACAUGUACUCUUUAACAGUAUUGUGAUCUUGAUGGUGGUCUUAUGUAUUGGUUGAAAUUUCAUGAUGUUUUGCAGUGCUCUUAUUAUU